GAGCGUGGACUACAGUUGUGGGUUUACUUUGCAGAGGUAAUUUAAAGGUUUGAUUCCUUCGCGUUUU
rnacentral:tRNA from 1 species